rnacentral:rRNA from 1 species
UGGGGAAUAUUGCACAAUGGGCGGAAGCCUGAUGCAGCAACGCCGCGUGCGGGAUGACGGCCUUCGGGUUGUAAACCGCUUUCGCCUGUGACGAAGCGUGAGUGACGGUAAUGGGUAAAGAAGCACCGGCUAACUACGUGCCAGCAGCCGCGGUGAUACGUAGGGUGCGAGCGUCGUCCGGAUUUAUUGGGCGUAAAGGGCUCGUAGGUGGUUGAUCGCGUCGGAAGUGUAAUCUUGGGGCUUAACCCUGAGCGUGCUUUCGAUACGGGUUGACUUGAGGAAGGUAGGGGAGAAUGGAAUUCCUGGGGGAGCGGUGGAAUGCGCAGAUAUCAGGAGGAACACCAGUGGCGAAGGCGGUUCUCUGGGCCUUUCCUGACGCUGAGGAGCGAAAGCGUGGGGAGCGAACA